GAUGAACGCUGGCGGCGUGCCUAAUACAUGCAAGUCGAGCGAACGGACGAGAAGCUUGCUUCUCUGAUGUUAGCGGCGGACGGGUGAGUAACACGUGGAUAACCUACCUAUAAGACUGGGAUAACUUCGGGAAACCGGAGCUAAUACCGGAUAAUAUUUUGAACCGCAUGGUUCAAAAGUGAAAGACGGUCUUGCUGUCACUUAUAGAUGGAUCCGCGCUGCAUUAGCUAGUUGGUAAGGUAACGGCUUACCAAGGCAACGAUGCAUAGCCGACCUGAGAGGGUGAUCGGCCACACUGGAACUGAGACACGGUCCAGACUCCUACGGGAGGCAGCAGUAGGGAAUCUUCCGCAAUGGGCGAAAGCCUGACGGAGCAACGCCGCGUGAGUGAUGAAGGUCUUCGGAUCGUAAAACUCUGUUAUUAGGGAAGAACAUAUGUGUAAGUAACUGUGCACAUCUUGACGGUACCUAAUCAGAAAGCCACGGCUAACUACGUGCCAGCAGCCGCGGUAAUACGUAGGUGGCAAGCGUUAUCCGGAAUUAUUGGGCGUAAAGCGCGCGUAGGCGGUUUUUUAAGUCUGAUGUGAAAGCCCACGGCUCAACCGUGGAGGGUCAUUGGAAACUGGAAAACUUGAGUGCAGAAGAGGAAAGUGGAAUUCCAUGUGUAGCGGUGAAAUGCGCAGAGAUAUGGAGGAACACCAGUGGCGAAGGCGACUUUCUGGUCUGUAACUGACGCUGAUGUGCGAAAGCGUGGGGAUCAAACAGGAUUAGAUACCCUGGUAGUCCACGCCGUAAACGAUGAGUGCUGAGUGUUAGGGGGUUUCCGCCCCUUAGUGCUGCAGCUAACGCAUUAAGCACUCCGCCUGGGGAGUACGACCGCAAGGUUGAAACUCAAAGGAAUUGACGGGGACCCGCACAAGCGGUGGAGCAUGUGGUUUAAUUCGAAGCAACGCGAAGAACCUUACCAAAUCUUGACAUCCUUUGACAACUCUAGAGAUAGAGCCUUCCCCUUCGGGGGACAAAGUGACAGGUGGUGCAUGGUUGUCGUCAGCUCGUGUCGUGAGAUGUUGGGUUAAGUCCCGCAACGAGCGCAACCCUUAAGCUUAGUUGCCAUCAUUAAGUUGGGCACUCUAAGUUGACUGCCGGUGACAAACCGGAGGAAGGUGGGGAUGACGUCAAAUCAUCAUGCCCCUUAUGAUUUGGGCUACACACGUGCUACAAUGGACAAUACAAAGGGCAGCGAAACCGCGAGGUCAAGCAAAUCCCAUAAAGUUGUUCUCAGUUCGGAUUGUAGUCUGCAACUCGACUACAUGAAGCUGGAAUCGCUAGUAAUCGUAGAUCAGCAUGCUACGGUGAAUACGUUCCCGGGUCU
rnacentral:rRNA from 1 species